UACGAAGGGGGCUAGCGUUGCUCGGAAUCACUGGGCGUAAAGCGCACGUAGGCGGCUUUUUAAGUCAGGGGUGAAAUCCUGGAGCUCAACUCCAGAACUGCCUUUGAUACUGGGAGCUCGAGUCCGGGAGAGGUGAGUGGAACUCCGAGUGUAGAGGUGAAAUUCGUAGAUAUUCGGAAGAACACCAGUGGCGAAGGCGGCUCACUGGCCCGGUACUGACGCUGAGGAGCGAAAGCCAGGGGGAGCAAAGCGGG
rnacentral:rRNA from 1 species